UUUGCUACUUCCUCUCCUGGUGCUCUGUUAAGAAAAUAGCACAGAUUUGAAGCCAAAUGCUUAAUACUUACAGAAGAAAAGAAAGCUCAGACUUAGUCCAUGCAUAAUAGAAGACUAAAACUUAGAGCUAACCGGUAGUGCUUUAAUAACAGGCACUGUUAGCACUUAAAUUCCACUAUCUUCGUUCAUGUUGAAGAGCUGUAAAGUGGUAGGUGCUAACCUGAUACCGCCUGGUAGAAAGGAGAAUAUCAUGGAGAGACAUUCAAAUUACAGCUAUGCCCUUCAGUCCUUGAAUAGAGAGUACUGAAAAGAACAGGUGCAUUGAAAGAAAGAUCUGUGGAAAAAAAAAGAAGAGUGGAUCUGGGCAUCCAGCAACCUUCAACCCUCCCUCAUCCCAGAAAAGAAGCAGUGAAAGAAUAAACAAGGAGAGAAAUGAACUACAGUGGAUGGGGUAGAGAGAGAAGAUGGGAGGGGAGGGAGGGGGGAUGGUAGAGGAUAGGAAAGGUAGCAGAAUACAACAGUUACUAAUAGGGCAUUAUGUAAAAAUGUGGAUGUGUAACGGAUGUGAUUCUGCAAUCUGUAUUUGGGGUAAAAUUGGGAGUUCAUAACCAACUUGAAUCUAUUGUAUGAAGUAUGAUAUGUCAAGAGCUUUAUAAUGUUUUGAACAACCAAUAAAAAAAUAA